rnacentral:tRNA from 1 species
GCAGUGGUGGUCCAGUGGUAGAAUUCUCACCUUCCAUGCGGGAGACCUGGAUUUGAUUCCCAGCCACCACC